GUGGGGAAUCUUAGACAAUGGGGGAAACCCUGAUCUAGCCAUGCCGCGUGAGCGAUGAAGGCCUUAGGGUUGUAAAGCUCUUUCAGCUGGGAAGAUAAUGACGGUACCAGCAGAAGAAGCCCCGGCUAACUCCGUGCCAGCAGCCGCGGUAAUACGGAGGGGGCUAGCGUUGUUCGGAAUUACUGGGCGUAAAGCGCACGUAGGCGGAUCAGAAAGUCAGAGGUGAAAUCCCAGGGCUCAACCUUGGAACUGCCUUUGAAACUCCUGGUCUUGAGGUCGAGAGAGGUGAGUGGAAUUCCGAGUGUAGAGGUGAAAUUCGUAGAUAUUCGGAGGAACACCAGUGGCGAAGGCGGCUCACUGGCUCGAUACUGACGCUGAGGUGCGAAAGCGUGGGGAGCAAACAGGAUUAGAUACCCGAGUAGUCC
rnacentral:rRNA from 1 species